rnacentral:lncRNA from 1 species
CACAGGUACGUCCAGGAGAGACGUCAGGGUGGCCGCUCUGCGAAGUCAGAGAAUGUGUGCACAGUCGGGUGACUGGCUUUAGUGUUUUCGUCUGGUCUGUGAUUCCAGGCUUCCUGACCCCAGAGCUCAGAAGACAGAAGCUCCCAGAUUCAGUGCAGGGAGCGAGGCAUUUGGAUUCUCCCUGGAGAAGCCUGACCUUCUUAGGUCCUGAAUAAUGCGGGCUGACCAACAAUGAAAAGAGACGCAAGGAAUGAAGCGGCCAGCAGAGGACCCUCCCUUGUUCAUGGCAUUUCUCUGCGACGGCCCACUCUACAAUCACUCAGCAAACGCCUGCAGGAAUCGCCAAGGGGCCUCAUAGCCCACCGACCUUGAACUGCAUGGCCUCCUCUCUAAUGCUUCCCCCUCCCCCGCAAUAUGUAAGUCAGGGGGUGUUAUUUCUGAGGACUCCUCCUGGGUAGUCUUGGUGUGUACAGAGUCUGCUGUACAAUUGUCUCACAAUUGCAAACGCCAAAGAACCACCACUUCCCUUUUUUGUAUGACUCUGCUGACUACUUAAGAGAUGCUACUUCCUGCCACGCAUCUACUGCAACCUUCACAAGAGAAAAGAAAAAAGGCCGAAACCAGCUGGGUCCAAAAGAGAUGGUUCUAAUGCUGCUGCCUUAUGCUCUCACAGAAUCUGGCUUUGUGCUUUAGUUUGCUUGCUGUGUGACCUUGGAAAAAUUACUUCGCCUCUCUGUGCCUUAGUUUCCUCAUCUUCAAAACAGAGAUAAUGAUAGUACUUAUCCCAUGGGUUUCUGUGAUAAUUAAAUGAGAUAAGAUAUGUAAAGAUUUCUAGAACACAUAAUAAAUGCUAUAGAUGUGUUAGCUAAUAUUAAUACUAUAAAGAUUACUGUAAACAUGAAUAUUAUUGGUGUCCCCGAAAUGUUUGUUGGGUAGAAUUCUUGUCAAGUUCCCUUGGUGAAAACAUCUUCAUGGGGUGAUUAAUGUGGAGAUACUGAAGCACCCAGCGUGCCCUCGAGGCCUUAUAAUUUAGAUCUCGUCUCAAUACAGUUUAAUCCAGCUCCACCCAAGGGACGGCAAAGUUUAAUUCCUACGUAUAAAUAGGUGGCUGUGGCAUAAAUAGGUCUUCCUGAGGACCAGGCCUCAUCCGAGACCAGCUGGAGGGAUUCAGCCAGACCGCCCCCGAGCUUUGGGCCCAGGAUUGACAGACUGAGCCUGGAGAAGCCGGGACCAUCUUCCUGGCCAUUCUCUGUUCUGCCUGAUCAAUUGCUCAAGAAUAUUGUGGCACAACAGUGAUAGCUUAGAUAAGAUGCUGCCCAGGACUCUCAAACUGAGGGCCACACACUCGAACUGAGGUCAAAACCAACCCA